GCGUUUGUUGGUAAAAAAUGUGCAACGUUGUUUAGUAGCAGCAGUUCUGCCUAGAAGAGCACACCAACGGCUAGUAGUCUCUCGAGGAGACGACAUGCUCAGCAUGAGGAACCACCCUGUCAUCAGGGAAAGCAGCACCCCGCGGUGCUCAGCCGGUGGGGUGAGUGCAGAGACGAGAUGAGCGUGGAAGCUAAACUUCAGCGCUUGAGAUAGAGCCCGUCCCCGCUGGGAACUGCGGGGGAUGAACGGAACCUGCGGAAGGAUCAUU
rnacentral:rRNA from 1 species